GGCCCAGUAGUAGCUCAGUUGGUUAGAGUGCCGGCCUGUCACGCCGGAGGUCGAGGGUUCGAGCCCCUUCUGGGUCGCCA
rnacentral:tRNA from 1 species